AUCACUUCUCGGCCUUUUGGCUAAGAUCAAGUGUAGUAUCUGUUCUUAUCAGUUUAAUAUCUGAUACGUCCUCUAUCCGAGGACAAUAUAUUAAAUGGAUUUUUGGAAAAAAAAAAAAAAAACCAAAGUCCGAGUUGAGCAUAGUGGUUCACAUCUG
rnacentral:snRNA from 1 species